rnacentral:rRNA from 1 species
UACGAAGGGGGCUAGCGUUGCUCGGAAUGACUGGGCGUUAAGGGCGCGUAGGCGGAUGGCACAGUCAGAUGUGAAAUUCCUGGGCUUAACCUGGGGGCUGCAUUUGAUACGUGUUGUCUAGAGUGAGGAAGAGGGUUGUGGAAUUCCCAGUGUAGAGGUGAAAUUCGUAGAUAUUGGGAAGAACACCGGUGGCGAAGGCGGCAACCUGGUCCUUGACUGACGCUGAGGCGCGAAAGCGUGGGGAGCAAACAGG